CAGGUGUAGCAAUACAUGCUGACGAGCGGCGAACGGGUGAGUAAUGCUUCGGAAUCUACCUUAUGGUGGGGAAUAACUAGCCGAAAGGUUAGCUAAUACCGCAUACGUCCUACGGGAGAAAGCAGGGGAUCGUAAGACCUUGCGCCAAAAGAUGAGCCGAAGUCGGAUUAGCUAGUUGGUAGGGUAACGGCCUACCAAGGCGACGAUCCGUAGCUGGUCUGAGAGGACGACCAGCCACACUGGGACUGAGACACGGCCCAGACUCCUACGGGAGGCAGCAGUGGGGAAUAUUGGACAAUGGGGGAAACCCUGAUCCAGCGACGCCGCGUGUGUGAAGAAGGCCUGCGGG
rnacentral:rRNA from 1 species